AUUGAACGCUGGCGGCAGGCCUAACACAUGCAAGUCGAGCGGAUGAAGGGAGCUUGCUCCUGGAUUCAGCGGCGGACGGGUGAGUAAUGCCUAGGAAUCUGCCUGGUAGUGGGGGAUAACGUCCGGAAACGGGCGCUAAUACCGCAUACGUCCUGAGGGAGAAAGUGGGGGAUCUUCGGACCUCACGCUAUCAGAUGAGCCUAGGUCGGAUUAGCUAGUUGGUGAGGUAAAGGCCUACCAAGGCGACGAUCCGUAACUGGUCUGAGAGGAUGAUCAGUCACACUGGAACUGAGACACGGUCCAGACUCCUACGGGAGGCAGCAGUGGGGAAUAUUGGGCAAUGGGCGAAAGCCUGAUCCAGCCAUGCCGCGUGUGUGAAGAAGGUCUUCGGAUUGUAAAGCACUUUAAGUUGGGAGGAAGGGAAGUAAGUUAAUACCUUGCUGUUUUGACGUUACCAACAGAAUAAGCACCGGCUAACUUCGUG
rnacentral:rRNA from 1 species